rnacentral:piRNA from 1 species
ACUCCCAUUGCUAUUCAAGA